AUUGAACGCUGGCGGCAGGCCUAACACAUGCAAGUCGAACGAGUGGCGGACGGGUGAGUAAUGUCUGGGAAACUGCCUGAUGGAGGGGGAUAACUACUGGAAACGGUAGCUAAUACCGCAUACCAUCGGAUGUGCCCAGAUGGGAUUAGCGAGUAGGUGGGGGAACGGCUCACCUAGGCGACGAUCCCUAGCUGGUCUGAGAGGAUGACCAGCAACACUGGAACUGAGACACGGUCCAGACUCCUACGGGAGGCAGCAGUGGGGAAUAUUGCACAAUGGGCGCAAGCCUGAUGCAGCCAUGCCGCGUGUAUGAAGAAGGCCUGCGGGUUGUAAAGUACUUUCAGCGAGGAGGCGUUACCCGCAGAAGAAGCACCGGCUAACUCCGUGCCAGCAGCCGCGGUAAUUC
rnacentral:rRNA from 1 species